GAUGAACGCCGGCGGUGUGCCUAAUACAUGCAAGUCGUACGCACUGGCCCAACUGAUUGAUGGUGCUUGCACCUGAUUGACGAUGGAUCACCAGUGAGUGGCGGACGGGUGAGUAACACGUAGGUAACCUGCCCCGGAGCGGGGGAUAACAUUUGGAAACAGAUGCUAAUACCGCAUAACAACAAAAGCCACAUGGCUUUUGUUUGAAAGAUGGCUUUGGCUAUCACUCUGGGAUGGACCUGCGGUGCAUUAGCUAGUUGGUAAGGUAACGGCUUACCAAGGCGAUGAUGCAUAGCCGAGUUGAGAGACUGAUCGGCCACAAUGGAACUGAGACACGGUCCAUACUCCUACGGGAGGCAGCAGUAGGGAAUCUUCCACAAUGGGCGCAAGCCUGAUGGAGCAACACCGCGUGAGUGAAGAAGGGUUUCGGCUCGUAAAGCUCUGUUGUUGGAGAAGAACGUGCGUGAGAGUAACUGUUCACGCAGUGACGGUUCCACCAGAAUGACCCUUCCCC
rnacentral:rRNA from 2 species